AAGCUGAAUAUAUGCAUAUGAGUGAAAUUUGCAUGAAGAUCCAUGACUUGUAACCUGCCAGACAAGAAAAUUGGCCUGAGUAAUCAUGUAACUCUAUGAGCCAUAUUUUGAACCUGUCAUCUAUCAACCAAUGCUGGUCCCUGGAAAUCACUUUCUGCCAGUGGAGAACAUAUGGUGCUACAAGGAUAUAGAAAUGAAGUAGAGCACAGAAGUCUUGCUAAGUUGAAGAGGCAGAUGUUGGAAAUGCUGCUGAGGUGUCUGGAAUGUACUGGGUAAGGUACCAAAGAGGAGACAGCUGGACAGAGAGAUGGACACAGAACUCUGAUAGAGGUCCCUUUAUGUACUUGGCUGAGAGCUGUGGAGAAUAUGCACAAAGAAGGAAAAAUAAAACACACACACACCAUUCUGGCAAGUCAAAAAUAAUUAUCUCUCCUAAAUAUAUGGAUUUUCUUUUAGCAUUAUUGAUACUGUGUUCACUGUUCUUCUUUCCUCUGUUUACUAGGAGUCUCAUAGACAAAUUUGUGGCUUAUCAAUUUGUGUAAUUGAUAAAGUAGUGUUACAGUAAUUGAUUUGUCCAAAUAAACAAAAUAUGAUAUUCUUUAAGGAAGACAACAUUCAGAUUCUCUACAGCACAUCAACCACAGUGUCCAGAAUAUAAUUUAAAACAAAUAAUAUUAGAAGUAUAAAGAAACAAGAGUAUGUGGCCAGAAAUGAAGGUGACAGUUAAUAAAAACAGACCUUCAGGAUGACCUAGAUGCUGGAAUUAGCAGACAAAGACUUCACUGUAACUAGUAGUAAUAUGUUCAGUGAUUUACAUAAAAGAUAUAAAUAAUUAAUAUAUAGAAAAUCUCAAUAGAGAAAUAGGAAACAAGAACCAAAUGAAAAUUUUAAUACUAAAAUUAUAAUAUCUGACAAUUUUAAAAUGUUCUAAAUGAAUAUAACAACAAACUUGAGACUAAAAAAUAAAAGGUCAGAAUUCAAAGACAAACAAAAAUAAUUCCAUGACAAGAUCUGAGGAAAGAAAGGUUGAAAAACAAAGGAAUACAGCUUCAGUAACCAUAAGGCAAUAUCAGCCAGUUUACCAUUGCAUGCUGGAGUCCAAGAAAGAAAAUAGAGAGAGAAUGGGAAAGAAAAAUAUAUUCGAAGAAAUAAUAUCAGAAAUUUCUCUAAUUUCAGGGCAAAAUAUCAACUUGUAGAUAAAUAAGCUUGGUGAACUCUAAGAAGGAUAAAUACAAAGAAAACCACACAUACUGUAUCUUAGUCCAUUUUUGAAAAUUAAGUAUAAAGGAAAACAUACAUCAAAUAUAGAAAAAUAUGAAUAUCAUGACAGCAGACUUUUCAUUGGUAGGAAAAAUGGAGGCUAGAAGAUAGUGGAGUGAUAUUGUCUAUGUAAUAUCAUUAUGUGAUGAUAUCUUUAAAGUGCUGGAACAAAAAUACUAACAAAACAGUCAAAACCCCAAAAUGUUGUAUGUACUAUAACAACAUAUAACAACAUAUAACAUAUAUACAACAACAUAUAACAAAAUGUUGUAUGUAUAUCUCUCAAAGAUGAGGAUGAAAAUUAAAAUUUCCAGAUAAACAAAAGAUGAGAAAAUUAGUUACUAAUGAAUAUACACUUCAAAAUAUGCUAAAGAAAAUAUUUUAGACUGAAAGUUACUGAUACCAGAUAGAAUUUCAGAUCUGCAGGAAGAAUGAAGACCACCAGAGUGGCAAAUAUGUGGGUAAAUAUGAAGGAAUAUAUAUUUUUUCUUCUCUUGAUUUCUUCAAAAGUCAAUUGACUAAAAAAUAAAAAGGGUAUUAUUGUAAAGUUUGUAAACUUUGUAGAGGUAAAUCAUAACAACAACAUAAAGAAGAGAAUAGAGUAAUUGGAACUACACUAUUGUAAGUUUCAUUUUAUUUUGAAAAUGACAGAUUGUAUAUUUUCUGUGAACAACGUGAUAUUUUGAAAAAUGUAUACAUUGGGGAAUGGCUAAGUCAAGCUAAUUAAAAUAUACAUUACCUCACAUAGUUAUAAUUUUUGUGGUGAGAACAUAAGACCUCCCUUAAAAUUUUUUGAGAUUACAAUACAUAAUUUAAAAAAUUGGAAUACAAAAUAUAAUACAUUGUUCUUAACUAUAGUCACCAUGCUGUACAAUAAAUCUCUUGAACUUACUCCUUCUAUCUUCCUGAAACUUUGUAACUUUUGACUAACAUCUUCCAAACCUCCUCUCCCACCACCAUCCAAAUCCCUGUUAAUCACCAUUCUACUCUCUACCUCUAUGAGUUCUACUUUUUUAGAAUCAACAUACAUGUGAAAUCAUACAAUAUUUGUUUUUCUCUGUCUGGCUUAUUUCACUUGACAUAAUGUCCUCCAGGUUCAUCAUUGCUGCCCCAAAUGAGAGAAUUUUCUUUUUCUUAGCUGAAUAGUAUUCCAUUGUGUAUGUAUACCAUAUUUUCUUCAUUCAUCUGUUGAUGGAUAUUUUAGGUUGAUUCCAUAUGUUGGCUAUUGUGAAUAAUGCUGCAACAAACAUGGGAGUGCAGAUAUAUCCACAACAUGAUUAUUUUAUUUCCUUUGGAUAAAUACCCAUAUGGGAUUGCCGGAUUAUAUGUUAGUUCUAAUUUUGGUUUAUUGAGGAACUUCCAUAUUGUUUUCCAUAAUGACUGUGUUAAUUUAUAUUCUCACCAACAGUGUGCAUGAAUUCCCAUUUCUUCGCAUUUUCUCCAACAUUUAUCUUUUGUCUUUUAGAUAAUAGCUGUUCUACCUGGAGAAAGGUGAUAUUUCAUUAUGGUUUUAAUUUCUAUUUUCCUGACGAUGAGCAUUUUUUCCAAAUACCUGCUGGACAUUUGUGUAUCCUCUUUUGAAAAAUCUGUUCAGGACCUUUGCCCAUUUUAAAAUCAGAUUGUUUUCUUGCUAUUGAAUUGAGUUUUUUCUAUAUUUUGCAUAUUAACCACUUAUCAUAUGUACGGCUUGUAUUUUCUCGCAUUGUGUAGGCUGUCUUUUCACUCAGUUGAUUGUUUCCUUUGCUGUGCAGAAGCUUUUUAGUUCAAUGUAAUUCCAUUUGUCUAUUUUUGCUUUUGUUGCCUGUGUUUUUGGGGUCAUAUCCAAAAAAAUCAUUGCCUAGACACAUGUCACGGAGCUUUUCAGCUAUGUUUUAUUCUAAUAGACUUAAAGCUUUGGCUCUUAAAUGUAAGACAUCCAUUUUGAGUUGAUUUUUGUAUAUGGUGUAAGAUAAAGGUUUAAUCUCAUUCUUCUGCAGGUGCAUUUCCAGUUUUUCCAACACUAUUUAUUGAAGCCACGGCCCUUUCUCCAUUGUGUAUUCUUUGCACUUUUGUUACAAGUCAGUUGGCUGUAAAUCUGUGGAUUUAUUUUUAGGUUCUUUAUUGUGUCCCAUUAGUUUAUGUGUCCAUUUUCAUGCCAGUACUAAGAAGCUAUUUUGGUUAUAUAGCUUUGUAGUGUAUUUUGAAGCCAGGCCGUGUGAUGCCUCUAGCUUUGUUAUUUUUACUCAAAUUUGCAUUGGCUAUUCAGGGUCUUUUGUGAUUCCAUAUCAAUUUUAGAAUUUUUUUCUACUUCUGUGAAAAUAUCAUAGAUGUUUUGAUAAGAAUUGUAUUGAAUCUAUAGAUCACUUUGGCUAGUAUCAAUAUUUUAACAAUUUUGUGAGAUUUUAAAAUUUAUAUAUGAAAUACUUCUUAAUUCUAGAAGGAAAUGUAGAGUAUCUUCAUGAUCUUGGGAUGGGCAAAUAUUUCUUAGAGAAGACACAAAAAGCAAUAAUCUUAAAAAAGGAAAAAUUAGACUAUAUCAAAAUUAAAACUUUUGUUCAUCAGAAGAUAUGAAAAAUGUGUAUAAGCUACAAACUUAGAGAUAAUAGUCUCAAUACAUAUAUUUCAGUGGUCCCUAACCUUUUUGGCACCAGGGACCGGUUUUGUGGAGGAUAAUUUUUCCACAGAUCUGGGCAGUGGGGGAAUGGUUUUGGGAUGAUUCAAACAUAUUAUAUUUAUUGGGCACUUUAUUUCUAUUAUUAUUAUGUUGUAAUGUAUAAUGAAAUAAUUAUAUAACUCACCAUAAUUUAGAAUCCAUAGGAGACCUGAGCUUUUCUUCCUGCAACUAUCUGGGGGUGAUGGGAGACUGACAGAUCAUCAGGCAUUAGAUUCUUAUAAGGACCAUUCAACCUAGAUCCUUUGCAUGUACAGUUCACAACAGGGUUCACGCUCCUAUGAGAAUCUAAUGCUGCUGCUGAUCUAACAGGAGGUGGAACUCAGGUAGUGAUAUGAGAGAUAGGGAGCAGUUUUAAAUACAGAUGAACCUUUGCUCCUCCAUGGCUCACCUCCUGCUGUGUGGCCGAGUUGCUAACAGGUCAUGGACUGGUCUGUGGCCCAGUGUUUGGUGACCCCUGAUAUACUUGACCUGCCCCAUAACUUGUAUCCAAACUAAUUGAACUACUCACACACUUUAUACAAGUACAUAUACAAAUGGCCAAUACGCAUAAGAAAGGGUAUUUAAAAUCAUUAUUCACCAAAAAAAAAAACACAUGAAAAUUUAAAGCUGUCACUUCAUUAUUAGAAGAGCUAAAAUUAGAAACUGCCAAAAUUACACAGAAACAGAAAACAGAAUCAAUUGUUAUCUAGAGUGAGAAGGAGACAAAGUUACUCAUUAAUGGGUAUGGGGUUUUCCUUUGGAAUAAUGAAAAUACUCUGGCACUAGAUAGCAGCGAUAGUUAUACAACAUUGUGAAUGUACUAAAUGUCACUAAUGGUAAAUUUUAUGCUAUAUGUAUCUUACUAUAAUUAUAAUAAAAUAAUUGCCAAU
rnacentral:lncRNA from 10 species